AGAAAAAGCUUAAGGGUUCUCUAUAGAUUCCAGAUGUUUUCUCAGAACUUCAGGCCGGGGCUCUCUGCUUGCUUCACUAUGGCUCCAUAUUCCAGCUUCAGGGCUCUUCUUCAGUUUGCUUCAUUUUUGACCUUGUCCCUCAAUCUCUAUAGCUCCCUAGUGCUACUGCCAUUCAUAGUUUGGCAAAGGACAUUUUCUGCUCCAGCUUUGGCCCUGUGAAAACUUCACCUGCUUUUACCUUACUUACCCAUGCACUCAUUCUUCAGACAUUUAGUUACCCUGCUAGGUACUGAGGUGACAGCCAUAAAUACCUGUUUUCAUUUUAGCAGCAGAGAGUAGGGGUGAACACAUGGUUCUAGAAAGGUACAUUGGAAAAGCCUCAGGAGAUGGAGACAUGCUUCAUAAGAGAGGUAACUUUCAAUACAAGGUUAGAAGAGGAAAAAUAAAUACCAGGCCUCAGAAGAUAGAAGAGUACAGGCCACCAAAAAUGGUAGGCCAUGAUGAUGAGCACUUAGAUUGCAAUGAAAAGUGCACAAAAUGCAGUUUUAGAAAGAUCAGUGUAGCUGCAGCAUGCAUGAUAGAUUUGAAAGGGAUAAAGCUAGUUAGGAAGUUAAUGUAAUCAUUUAGAAAAGACAGGAUGAGAAUGUAGAGAAGCAGCCAGAUGGGGAGAUAAGAAAGACAAAUUGACAUGACUAGGUUUAAUGGAAUUGGGCAUUGGGGAGAAGAGAGAGAGGCAGGGUUAGAGAAUACCUCUUGAGCUUGAGUACAUGGUAGUUGGUGACCUUAGAAAUAUGAUGGUCUAAGUUGAUGCAUAGAUAAAGACAAUGUUCAUAGGAACAUCCUGAGGUUCUCAUCAGGAAGCAGGUGAGGGCUAGGUAAAAACAAGUGGCAAUAGAAACCUUAGAGGCAAGUGAGAUGCUCCAGAGAGGAGGAAGAUUGAGAAGAUGGCCUGGCAGAUAGGGGCAAGUCUUUAAUAAGUCUUAAUAUUUAUGAUGAAAAAAGGAAUAGUAAUGCC